rnacentral:misc_RNA from 1 species
UUACAUAACAAUAUAUUCAAAUAAUUUUUUUCUAUACCGUGAGCUGAGUGGUUACAGAAUGACGUCACGACUCACAGGGCCGAAAGAUCUCUUGAAUAAUUUGACUAAAAGCAAGAACAGGAAGUGCCAUGGCAGACAAACGAGUAGAAUGUAUCACAAAGAAGAUUGCCUCUUAUCCUGAUUUUCCUAAACCUGGGAUUGUGUUUAAAGACAUCUUUUCCGUUCUUGCUGACCCGCCUGUAUUCAAAGAUUUGAUGGUUAUCUUUGAGGAACGCAUACGAGCUAUAUGUCCUGAUGUGGAGAUCAUCGUGGGUCUUGAGUCUAGAGGGUUUUUGUUGGGCACCCCUCUAGCACUUGCUCUGGGUGUACCCUUCGUACCUGUGAGGAAGAAGGGAAAAUUACCUGGGGAAUUGAAGCAAGUGUCCUACAAGUUGGAAUAUGGAACAGAUGUAUUUGAGGCCCAAGCUAAUAGUGUGAAACCAGGGCAGAAGGUGGUUAUUGUGGACGAUCUGUUAGCAACAGGAGGUACCAUGAAGGCUGCCUGUGAUUUGGUAACAUCCUUGGGUGGGGCAGUAGCUGUAUGUUUUGUCUGCAUUGAACUUGUAGACUUAAAAGGUCGGGAACAGCUAACAAAACCUUGUGAUGCUAUUGUCAAGUUCUAAAUCUGCAAAUCUCAUUCUGAAGGAUAAAUUCAUCGCUUCGUCAACUGCUGUUGGAUGAAUAGUGGAUGUGGGAAUAGAAAUUUGAUACAUUGUAAAGUAUUUAGAAUUGAUAAAGAGAAAUGGCAUCUUGUCCGGUUUGGGACCAUAUUUGGGACAGGAUCGGACACAGUUCAUAUCAUCCCCCCCCCUCGAAAAAAGACCAAUUUAGAGAAAUAUAAAAGGAUACAAAUAUACCAGCAUACAAAAUAGGACUACCAGGUAAUGUUUAUUUAGAAAUUGUUAAAUAAUUUCUUGAAUCUACAUCUGACACCUAAGCUUCAAUAUGGGAGCAGAUGCCAUGUUGUAAUGUCCACUCCUGUGUCUCCAAAUGUAAACUCCUUUUCGUCAUUAUAUUCUCAUAACCUCACUCUAUAUACAGUACUGUACACAUUUUAUAACAACCACCAACUAUCAUUAUUUUGAAGAUAAAAAAAAAAAUAGUGCAGGUAAUUUAAUAACAAAAACAUACUUGAAAAGGGACUGUCUCCUUCUCUCAUAGACAAGCCAACCCUGGGUAUAACAUCACAAGGCUGUCACCAUCACCUAGGUAGCCAUACUGUGUAAUUUUUCUGCACACUAGAUGCUCUGUCCCACCCCAUACUACCCUACACAUAUUCACUAGAUCCAUCAUGCACUUUCACAGUCAGUUCAUCUGUUACUUCCCAGUCAGUCAGUUCAUCUGUUACUUCCUAAUCAGUCAGUUCAUCUGUUACUUCCCAGUCAGUCAGUUCAUCAGUUACUUCCCAGUCAGCCAGUUCAUCAAUUAUGGUACUUCCCCAAUCAGUCAGUUCAUCCGUUACUUCCCAGUCAGUCAGUUCAUCUGUUACUUCCUAAUCAGUCAGUUCAUCUGUUACUUCCUAAUCAGUCAGUUCAUCUGUUACUUCCUAAUCAGCCAGUUCAUUAGUUACUUCUUCAUCAGCUGGCUCUUGGAAGUUAUAUUGAACUUAUCACAGAUGUCAGCUUGCUUAAUGUUUUUGUAGGAAAGUGGAAUGUAUAAUGUAGAGUAACAUAGCCUCCUGUGUAGAGUAGCAAGCCGGCUCUGAGCAAAUUUGUGGAUUAACUCUGACCCUUCUGCCAUUCUAGCCCCCAGAAUCUACUCCUUUCCUCUGUUUUCUUUGGUUUUAAAGGUCUCUAGUAUUUUGUCACCAGCUAGCAUAUGGACAACCCUAAUUUCUUUUAUCUCUUUCAAUCCAUAACUCUAUUUGACUUUCACUGAGGUUACAUACAGAGUUUGUGGAGUAACAACGUGGCAGUCAUUUACUUUACUGUAGAUUUCUUGUGACAAACAUUGAAUGUGGCAUCUUGAAGGUUAUACACUUUGUGGAAGUCUUGAAUGUUGUCUUCAUGGUUGAUAAAGAUGAAGAAAUGUUUUUCCCAUAAUGACGCUAAAGGUUUUAGAUGUCAUCCUUUGGUUUCAUCAGUUCAGGGUGCUGUACAGUACAACUUGUUUUACCACCUAGUUAUAAGUGCUUGUACAUUCCACAUAUAGUUUUAAUUAUAUUGUAGUGACUUGUUAAAUAUGAAUAAAACAAAUUAUUCGA